CUGAUACAGUGAUGACAGCAUAGUUCAGCAGAUUAAACAUGACGAACUAUCAGCAUUGUCUUUCGCUCCUAUCUGAUGUAUCCA
ensembl:snoRNA